rnacentral:rRNA from 1 species
UGACGUCAAAUCAUCAUGCCCCUUAUGACCUGGGCUACACACGUGCUACAAUGGGCGGUACAAAGGGUCGCGAACCCGCGAGGGGGAGCCAAUCCCAAGAAGCCGCUCUCAGUUCGGAUUGCAGGCUGCAACUCGCCUGCAUGAAGCCGGAAUCGCUAGUAAUCGCGGAUCAGCAUGCCGCGGUGAAUACGUUCCCGGGCCUU